GAUGAACGCUGGCGGCGUGCCUAAUACAUGCAAGUCGAGCGAACGGACGAGAAGCUUGCUUCUCUGAUGUUAGCGGCGGACGGGUGAGUAACACGUGGAUAACCUACCUAUAAGACUGGGAUAACUUCGGGAAAUCGGAGCUAAUACCGGAUAAUAUUUUGAACCGCAUGGUUCAAAAGUGAAAGACGGUCUUGCUGUCACUUAUAGAUGGAUCCGCGCUGCAUUAGCUAGUUGGUAAGGUAACGGCUUACCAAGGCAACGAUGCAUAGCCGACCUGAGAGGGUGAUCGGCCACACUGGAACUGAGACACGGUCCAGACUCCUACGGGAGGCAGCAGUAGGGAAUCUUCCGCAAUGGGCGAAAGCCUGACGGAGCAACGCCGUGUGAGUGAUGAAGGUCUUCGGAUCGUAAAACUCUGUUAUUAGGGAAGAACAUAUGUGUAAGUAACUGUGCACAUCUGGACGGUACCUAAGCAGAAAGCCACGGCUAACUACGU
rnacentral:rRNA from 1 species